GGGGAAAAAAAUCCUUCAUGGGACUAGAAAAAAAUUCAUGGCCAAUAUCACUUCGCACCAUUUUAACUACUCGACCAAAUUGGGUUUUUACCAUAUGAUAAAAAUUAACAAAGACUUUGUAUGGCGUGAGGAAAUCAGCAGCGAGUCCGGCACGGCGGAGCUCGCGGCGGAUCGUCGGGGACGGCGUCGGGACGACACUGAAGCAGAAAGUGGCGGGCAACGGUGACGAGGCGAAGGUCUGGUGCAGCGACGGCGUCGGGGGAUGGCGAUGGCACGGCUCGGCACAGUGACGGCGUUGGGGGGUGGCGGCGGCACAGCUCGAGGCGGCUCUCUCGCGGAUCUGCAGAUCUGCCCUCAGAUCUCGACCCUUCUCUUCCUCCGCCCUCCGCUCAGCCCCUCACUCUCUCUGGCUUCUCUCCCGCUCGGCCCCUCUCCGGCACGCCGAUCGGCCUUGGGGCGGCCGGACCGGCGUCGCCUCAGCCGCCCUCCUGCUCCGCUUUGAAGGCGCGUUCCAUCCGUCGCCAGCUGCUCCACGUGCGUCGCCGUCCGCCUGUCCGUUCGGCCAUCGCGCGCGUCCGGAGCUCCCCUGCGCGUGCAGCAUAUCUGCUGGGGAAGAAGACAAAGGGGGAAGAAGACAAACGAGAGAAGGGGGCCGGGCUGGGCCCUGGGGGCCCACGC
rnacentral:lncRNA from 1 species